rnacentral:rRNA from 1 species
UACGGAGGAUCCGAGCGUUAUCCGGAUUUAUUGGGUUUAAAGGGUGCGUAGGUGGAUUGGUAAGUCAGUGGUGAAAGUUUGCAGCUUAACUGUAGAAUUGCCGUUGAAACUGCCGGUCUUGAGUGCAAAUGAGGUAGGCGGAAUGCGUCGUGUAGCGGUGAAAUGCUUAGAUAUGACGCAGAACUCCGAUUGCGAAGGCAGCUUACUGGGAUGCAACUGACGCUGAGGCACGAAAGCGUGGGUAUCAAACAGGAUUAGAUA